rnacentral:rRNA from 1 species
GGACUACCAGGGUAUCUAAUCCCGUUUGCUCCCCUAGCCUUCGUGCCUCAGUGUCAGGAACUGUCCAGAGAUCCGCCUUCGCCACUGGUCUUCCUCAUGAUAUCUACGCAUUUCACUGCUACACCAUGAAUUCCAAUCUCCUCUCCAGUCCUCUAGCAAAACAGUAUCGAGUGCAGUUUCGGGGUUAAGCCCCGAGAUUUCACACCCGACUUAUUCUACCACCUACGCACCCUUUACGCCCAAUGAAUCCGAACAACGCUUGAGACCUCUGUAUUACCGCGGCUGCUGGCAC